AGGUCUAGCCUGCCCAGUGAUAAAAUUAAACGGCCGCGGUACCCUGACCGUGCGAAGGUAGCAUAAUCACUUGUUCUCUAAAUAAGGACUCGUAUCAACGGCAUCACGAGGGUUACACUGUCUCCCCCUUCUAAUCAGUGAAACUGACUUUCCCGUGAAGAGGCGGGAAUUAUUCUACAAGACGAGAAGACCCCAUGGAGCUUUAAACCCAAAGUGCCUAUUGGUUUUAGGUUGGGGUGACCGCGGAGUAAAACUUAGCCUCCUCUUAAUCUCAGAGCUACCGCUCCAAGAAUCAAAAAUUUGACGCAGCCUGAUCCCAACGAACCAAGUUACCCUGGGGAUAACAGCGCAAUCCAUUUUAAGAGCCCCUAUCGACAAAUGGGUUUACGACCUCGAUGUUGGAUCAGGGUAUCCCAGUGGUGCAGCCGCUACUAAAG
rnacentral:rRNA from 1 species